GUAAAGUACUUAUGGUUGCUUCACCAUAAUCGAGGAAACUUUCACUAACAAAUUUUAGUGUUGGUACAUUUUGUAUUCUUGGUCAUAAAAUAAGGGGCUUGUGCAGGUGCAUUUCCACCAAUUAGGUCAAUAUUUACAUAGUCAUGCAAAGAUAGUAUCUUUCUUUUUCUAUGAAAAAAUUCCCCAGCAUGUGAGAAUAUUCAACUACCUUUCUACAUUAUUAAGUUUAAGCAUCUUUAUAUUUUUGUCAUCUGCUUUGGAUAGUGCCGUAAUUCUCUAAUGACCAAGAUAAUGAAAAGCCUGUGUGGAAGAGUGGAAGCUGUAGCCACUAGGAACGAAUUCUAUAUCCCUGGAUCAGCCAUCCAUUUCGUGUGUUUUAUGAUCACACAUAGAUGCAUGAGGUAUCUACAAUAAUGCUCUGUGAAAGAAGCAUUGCUUUUCUGGAAAAUGAUGUUAUAUAAAAACAUUGUUUCUGGGUGGAGCCAAGAAGGUCGAAUGGGAAGAGCUCCAGUCCACAGCUCCCACCAUGAGUGAUGCAGAGGACGGGAGAUUUCUGCAGUUCCAACUGAGGCAUCAAUGUGUUCCCGUAUAUACCUUCACAUAUUCUACCACAGCAGUGUUUCCAAAAUGCUGAGUGAAAAGAAAGGUUUACCUCUGUGAGCUGAAUGCAAACCUCACAAAGAUGUUUCUCAUCUUGCAUCCUUCUAGUUUUUAUCCUGGGAUAUUCACUUUUUCACCUAUGGCCUGUAUGAGCAAUCUAAUAUCCCUUUGCAGAUUCUACAAAAACAGUGUUUCCUAUCUGCUGAAUGAAAAGAAAGUUUUAUCUUUGCAUCAUGAAUGCACAGAUCACAAAGCUGUUUCUCAGAAAGAUUUCUUCUAGUUUUUCUCCUGAAAUGUUCACUUUUUCGCCUUUGGCCUCAAUGACCUCCCAAAUGUCCUGUCACAGAUUGUACCAAAACAGUGUUUCCAAACUGCUGAAUGAAAAGACAGAUUUAACUCUGCGAGUUUAAUGCAAACAUCACAAAGCAAUUCCUCAUACAGCUUCCUUCAUUUUUAUUCUGUGAUAGUCGCUUUUUCAACUAUGUCCUCAAUGAGCUGUCUAAUAUAAAUUUUCAGAUUCUACAAAAAUGGUGUUUUCAAACUGAUGAAUCCAAAGAAAGUUUAACACUGUGAAAUGAAUGCACACAUCACAAAGCAGUUUCUCAGAAAGGUUUUUCAAGUGUUUGUCUGAAGAUAUUUCAUUUUUCACCAUAGGCCUGAAAGUGCUCCCAAAUAUCCCUUUGAAGAUUCUGCCAAAACUGAUUUCCAAACUGCAAAACAAAAGAAAGGUUUAAUUCUGCGAGAUGAAUGGACAUAUCACAAAGUGGUUUCUCAGAUAGCUUCCUUCUAGUUUUUAUUCAGUGAUAUUCACUUUUUCACCGAUGGCCUCAAUGACCUAUCUAAUUUCAAUUUGUAGAUUAUACUAAUAGAGUGUUUCCAAACAGCUGAAUGAAAGAAAGGUUUAACUAUGCAAGAUGAAUGGAAACAUCAUAAAGCGGUUUCUCAAAUUGCUUCCUUCUAGUUUUUAUCCUGGGAUAUUCACCUUUUCGCCUAUGGUCUCAAUUAGUUAUCUAAUAUCCCUUUGCAGACUCUACAAAAACAGUGUUUCCAAACUGCUGAAUGAGAAGAAACGUUUAUAUCAGUGACAUUAAUGCACAUAUGACAAAGCGGUUUCUCAGAUAGCUUCCUUCGAGUUUUUAUUCAGGGAUAUUCACUUUUUUGCCUUUGACCUCAAUGAACUCCCAAAUAUACCUUUGCAGAUUCUACAAAAACAGUGUUUCCAAACUGCUGAAUCCAAAGUAAGGUUUAAUUCAGUGAGAUGAAUGCCCAUAUCUCAAAGCAGUUGCUAAGAAAGCUUCUUUAUAAUUUUCAUCAGAAGAUAUUUCCUUUUUCACAAUUGGCCUGAAUGCGCUCCCACAUAUACCUUUGCAAAUUCUACCAAAACAGUGUUUCCAAACUGCUGAAUAAAAGAAAGGUUUAACCCUGAGAGAUGAAUGCACAUAUCACAAGGUGGUUCCUCAGAUAGCUUCCAUCAAGCUUUUAUCCUAGGAUAUUCUCUUUUUCCCCUAUGGCCUCAAAGAGCUGUCAAACAUCUCUUCACAGUUUCUACAAAAAGUGUUUCCAAACUACCGAAUGCUAAGAAAAGUUUAACUCUGUUAGAUUAAUGCUCACAUCAUAAAGCAGUUUCUCAGAAUGCUUCUUUCUAGUUUUUAUCUGAAGAUAUUUCCUUUUUCACCAAAACCUCAAUAUGCUCCCAAAUAUCCCUUUGCGAUUCUACCAAAAAAGUGAUUCCAAAUUGCUGAAUGAAAAGAAAGGUUUAUUUCAGCGAGAUGAAUGCACACACCAAAAAACGGUUUCUCAGACAGGUUUCUUCUAGUUUUUAUUCUGGGAUAUUCACUUUUUCACCUUUGACCUCAAUGAGUUCAAAAAUGUCCAUUCACUGAAUGGACAAAAACAGUGUUUCCAUACUACUGAAUCCAAAGAAAUGUUUAACUCUGUCAGAUGAAUGCACACAUCACAAGGCAGUCUCUCAGAAAGAUUCUUUCUAGUUUUCAUCUGAAUAUAUUUCCUUUUUCACCAUAGGUCUCAAUGCACUCCCAAAUAUCCCUUCACAGUUUAUUCCAAAACAGUAUUUCCAAACUGCUGAGUGUAAAGAAGGGUUUAACUAUGCGAGAUGAAUGCAUACAUCCAAAGCGGUUUCUCAGAUAGCUUCCUACUAGUUUUUAUCCUGGAAUAUUUACUUUUUGGCCUAUGGCCUCAAUGAGCUAUAAAAUAUGCCUUCACAGAUUCUACAAAAACGGUUUUUCUAAAUUGCUGAAUCCAAAGAAAGUUUUGACUCUGUGAGAUGAAUGCACUCAUCUAAAAGCAGUAGAAAGCUUCUUUCUACUCUUAUGUGAAGAUACUACUUUUUCACGAUAGGCCUGAAUGAGCACCCAAGUACCUUUUCAUACAUUCUGCCAAAACAAUGUUUCCACACUACUGAAUGAAAAGAAAGGCUUAACUUUGUGAGAUGAAUGCACACUUUACAAAGCAUUUUCUCAGAUAUCUUCCUUCUAGAUUUAACCUGGGAUAUUCGUUUUUUCUCCUUUGGCCUCAGUGAACUCCUAAAUAUCAAGUUGCAGAAU
rnacentral:lncRNA from 10 species